CCUACGGGAGGCAGCAGUGAGGAAUAUUGGUCAAUGGACGAGAGUCUGAACCAGCCAAGUAGCGUGAAGGAUGACUGCCCUAUGGGUUGUAAACUUCUUUUAUAAAGGAAUAAAACGAGGCACGUGUGCCUUUUUGCAUGUACUUUAUGAAUAAGGAUCGGCUAACUCCGUGCCAGCAGCCGCGGUAAUACGGAGGAUCCGAGCGUUAUCCGGAUUUAUUGGGUUUAAAGGGAGCGUGGAUGGGUUGUUAAGUCAGUUGUGAAAUUUUGCGGCUCAACCGUAAAAUUGCAAUUGAUACUGGCAGUCUUGAGUACAGUUGAGGUAGGCGGAAUUCGUGGUGUAGCGGUGAAAUGCUUAGAUGUCACGAAGAACCCCGAUUGCGAAGGCAGCUUACUAAGCUGUGACUGACAUUGAUGCUCGAAAGUGGGGGUAUCAAACAGGAUUAGAUACCCUAGUAGUC
rnacentral:rRNA from 1 species